rnacentral:rRNA from 1 species
UACGGAGGGGGCUAGCGUUGUUCGGAAUUACUGGGCGUAAAGCGCACGUAGGCGGCUUUGUAAGUUAGAGGUGAAAGCCCGGAGCUCAACUCCGGAAUUGCCUUUAAGACUGCAUCGCUUGAACGUCGGAGAGGUGAGUGGAAUUCCGAGUGUAGAGGUGAAAUUCGUAGAUAUUCGGAAGAACACCAGUGGCGAAGGCGGCUCACUGGACGACUGUUGACGCUGAGGUGCGAAAGCGUGGGGAGCAAACAGG